CACUUGACUCCCAGGUAAAGAGAAAGUGGAAAACCAACAAUCCUUGGCCUUCAAUGACCGUGAGUUGGUAAUGUAUGAAUUGUAUAUUUGUGACACAAAAAUCGUUGGAUAUUAACACAUCCUUUCUGAGUGUGUGCAGUUGUCUAUUAUGUAGGAGCCAGAGGGUAACUGUGCGCGCGUGUGUGUGUGUGUUUGUGCAUGCGUGUGCGCGUGUGCGUGUGUGCGUGUGUGUGUGUGCGUGUGUGUGUGUAGGAGGCGGAGAGCAAUCUCGUAUGUCGGAGACUGCAGCUGAAGGACAUGAUUCCAGUGGAGAUGCAGAGACUCACCAAGUACCCACUUCUGCUGGAGAAUAUCGUAAGAUAUCGUAUCGUACACAGACGAUGCAGAGGAGAAGGUGAAGAGGGCAGGGGAAUGCUGUAAAAAGAUCCUCAACUAUGUGAACCAGGCUGUGAAGGAGGCUGAGAAUAAGUAGAAGUAGAGCACCUGACACACCUGCUGCAUGUCUGAGAGUGCUGCAGAUGGAGGGUAGUGUGUAACACUGCUCAGAGAACAACCAUAUUCUGGACUCCAGGAGAAAGGUGGGGGACAGGGGAUGAAUGCAAAGAUUUUCUGCCCUCGCCAAUUGAACCCUAUACCCAAACCAUGGCAGUGUCUCCUGUGUAAUUACAGGCGGAGCGUGACCAGCAGGCCAAAAGCAAGCAUUGAUUUUAACGCCUUGUUUGUAUUGGCAGGGAACCCACAUCCGUAUCAGAGCGGCGUUAAGGAGAACCUUUCCUGGAAGCAAGGGGACCUGCAAGGGGACCUGGCAUGAGACAACGACAGAAAAACUCUGUGAGUCAGCAGGAAAAUGUCAACCCCACCCCAUCAGGUCCAGUUUCCUUAAAAAUGAGGAUCACACAGAGAGAAAGGCUGCGUGUGUGUGUGGUGCAGAGAGAGAGAGGCUAUGUUGGUGGGGCUAAGGGAUAUUGAGCAGAGGCACUUUACAUAUUUUUGCUGUAAAAUGAAGAGAACUAGAUAAAUAAAGCAUAUUAACAUUAUCAUUAUUUGUAGUAAUAGUAGCAGCAGUAUCAGUAUUCUUGAGUUGGACACAGAGAAUGAGCAUUGGAAAUUUGUGGGUCGCUGGCUUUGGAACCGAGUCAAACCGUAUCAUCAUUCUGCAUGCCAUCGUUAAUGAGAAUUUUUAAUUUAAAUGUCAUCUUCUAAGAAAUGCAAAUGUUUAUUGGAGGAACAACGGGUUUGAUUUCUGGCCCCAUUUCAGCAUUUGCAUGUAGUACCAGGAAAGACAUGACUUCCUUGAUUUUCUGUCUGUGAACUGCAACAUAAAAGUAAUGUUCUGGUUUGAA